rnacentral:piRNA from 1 species
UGACAUCUGAACAUUUCUUUU